UUUAAUCGGAGAACUUUUGGUUGAGAUCGCUUCAUGACUACAAUAUUGCACUGCAACUCUUCCAUGCAGCGUUUCUUCUCAUGUUUGAGAUGCUUGUCCAAAACAACCCAAUUCGCCUGAGACUUCUUCGCCUCAGCAGCCACAGCUCCAUGCGGUGUACCAGAAACAAUUUUAAUCUUGACAUUUAUCUUGUUGGGAUCAUAAACAUCAUGAAGCUG
rnacentral:misc_RNA from 1 species